CAACCCACGGGUUCUUGCUUGUCUGUUCCCCAUUCGAUCCCCAAAUCGAGAGACGAAACCCUAGCCGCGCCGCACAACUUCCUUUACCAUAUCCCAAAUCGAAGCAGAUAUAACCGUAGCUUGCAAAGAUGGCAGAUCCAGGUGUUGACCAAGGUGCUCUGUCAGUCGUGCCUUGUCCGGAUUGCGGGAGGAACGUGGUGACAUACGUAGCGCGGCGCGGGCAGAAUGCCGGCCAGCGUUUCGACAAGUGCCGGAAUCACAAUCCGUCAGGGGGUGGAUGUGAUUUCUACAGGUGGGAGGAGGCCUACGCGGCCCAUGUCGCCACUCUUGGUCUUGGAGGAGCAACUCCUGUAGUUGGCCAAGUCGGGCCAGGUCAGAUGCAGGGCGGGCAGGCGGCUGGAGUUAGUAACUUUUGUUUGAUACCAAUGUCAGGGAGGUGCUGAUCUGCGUCCUCGAGUGUCAGGGAGGUGCUGAUCUGCGUUCUCCAAUGUCAGGGAGAUGAUCAACAGCAGGUAGGCUUUUUUGUGACAUCUGUGACAGUGACAUACUUCCGGCUCCGUAAAUGGUAAGGUGUCCGUGGGUACCGGGGUGAUAUCAGCAUAGCUGCAGCCAUAAAAACAGUGUGGACAGAAUGCUUAGAUAUAGUUUGAAACUUUAGGAGAGGUGCUAGAAAUAAAACACAGCUUGCAUGAGAUUGCUAACCCGUGUGUGCAGAAUCAUCGUCAGAAGGCAUGUUAGUGAAACAGAGAGCACAAGGCGCAAGGGGCAGGUGGCAUUUAUUGCAAUCAGGUUUUGCGCGGCUCCAGGAAGGGUAGGUGCUGGCAGCUUAGCUUCAGGAGUUUCCUCAACAUACUGAAGUUGUUGAUCCUUUGCUGGAAUGAUAUUCAGAGCACAUGAUCAUAGUGGUGUUUCUUUCAUUUUAAAAAAAAAAUCAUGAGACGACGUGAGUGGUGAUGAGUUGUUAAGUACAUGUUUGAGAGACUAUUCCAGCAAGCUGGAGAAGAGUGUGUGCGCAUGCAUUUGCAAGUGGUGAUUCUGGAGGAAGCUGUGUCUGCAGGGAUGUAUCAACAAGCGUGGAGGUUAAAUAUUGAGCAUGUGUGUACAAGUGCCAAUGACAAUCAAAUGGAAACCAACAUGACUCAGGUGUUAUGAAUCUUGGUGUGGAAUCUGGGGCUCCAGUGCAGUUCUCUUUUCCUCUGCGUGCUUCUGCUAAUGCUUCUUCAUGACUCUGGGUUGAAGGUGCGCGACUCUGCUCUGCUGGCCUACCUGUAAAAAGCGAGGAGGGCAGACACAAGCAGUUAGUAACUUUUGUUUGAUACCAAUGUAUUCAAGUCAAAAGUGAGUUUUCGAUGGGAACGAACAUUGGGUAACAACAAGCGCUGUCUUGGCGCUGACCAAGGGGCUUGGAGCUAGAUGCA